CUUCGAGGCAUAUGGACUUUCGGGCCAGGGACCAGGGAUCAGACCCAGGCUGUAGCUGUGUCCGACACCGCAGCUGCGGUAAUGCUGGAUCCUUAACCCACUGUACCAGACCGGGGCUGGAACCUGCGUCCCUGUGCUCCCAAGAUGCCGAUGACCCCGCUGCGCCCCAGCAGGAACUCCUGCUUAUUGUCCUAUUCUGCUAAAAUAGAGGGCUCAUCAAGCUGCGGAUCUUUCUGUUGGCUGGUCCACAUGGGGUCCCCAGGGGAGCCACCCACUCGGGCACGCACGAUGCUGGGCUCCUGGCCCUGGCUCGCCUCUGCAACAGCCUGCACAGGGUCGCUGGCGACUGGCAGCUGCCCUGUCACAUCACUCUGUCACUUCCUUCCCCGUAUUUCAAAUUGAGCUUCUAAAGCCUGGAGCAGCUGCCUGUUUGAGAAGUCAUUAAAAAAAAAA